AGAACGAACGCUGGCGGCAUGCCUAACACAUGCAAGUCGAACGAAGCCUUCGGGCUUAGUGGCGCACGGGUGCGUAACGCGUGGGAACCUGCCUUUAGGUUCGGAAUAACUCCCCGAAAGGGGUGCUAAUACCGAAUAAUGUCUUCGGACCAAAGAUUUAUCGCCUUUAGAUGGGCCCGCGUUGGAUUAGCUUGUUGGUGGGGUAAAGGCCUACCAAGGCGACGAUCCAUAGCUGGUCUGAGAGGAUGAUCAGCCACACUGGGACUGAGACACGGCCCAGACUCCUACGGGAGGCAGCAGUGGGGAAUAUUGGACAAUGGGCGAAAGCCUGAUCCAGCAAUGCCGCGUGAGUGAUGAAGGCCUUAGGGUUGUAAAGCUCUUUACCGGAUGAUAAUGACAGUACCGGGAGAAUAAGCUCCGGCUAACUCCGCGCCAGCAGCCGC
rnacentral:rRNA from 1 species